UGGCUGCUAGAUGGUGUGGCUGACAGAAGAGAGUGAGCACGCAUCGGCCAGACUGCAUCUAUAUACGGCUGCCCCAAAGCGACGGAUCGAUGGAUGCCUAGCCUAGGCCUAGGCGCAGCUGCUGUUGCGUGCUCACUUCUCUUUCUGUCAGCUCUCUCUCUCAUCCU